rnacentral:lncRNA from 1 species
ACACAGGGAGAUCAUUUUGUGAGGAUGAAGGCAGGGAUCCGGGUGAUGCCUCUACCAGCCAAGGAACAACAACGAUGGGCAGCAAACCACCGGAAGCCAGGGGAGAAGCCUGGAACGCAUUCGCCCUCACCGGCCCCGAAAGGAACAGAUCCCAUAACGCUUUGAUCUCAGACUUCCAGCCUCCAGAACUGUGAGACAAUACAUUUCUGUUGUUGAAGCCACACAGUUUGUGGUAUUUUAUGACAGCAGCCUUAGCAAACUAAUACAUCUUUGUAUUUUAAAAUCACGGAUAGAAGAGUGUGGGUAUCCACUGAAACCACAAGCGGCUUCCCACAGGUUGUUUACGGUCAGCUUUAUGCUUAGAGGGAGGUGUGAGAGUCUCAUAGUAACACACAGAAAUCUGCAUUAUUUAUGACUAAAAGCAAAAGCAAAAUGUCUUGUUUGUCAGUCACUCCCCUCUAGGAGAGCAGACUUCACGGAGCUUGUCCACACCUUCCAGAGGAUUUAGAGUCUUGCGGAAAUUUAUUCCUAUUUUCCAUCUCCUUAGCUGACAUCUCACCCUCUGCUAUGAUGUCAAUUAAUG